rnacentral:rRNA from 1 species
UACGGGGGGGGGCAAGCGUUGUCCGGAUUUAUUGGGCGUAAAGAGCGUGUAGGCGGCCAGAUAGGUCUGCUGUGAAAACUCGAGGCUCAACCUCGAGCUGUCGGCGGAAACCAUUUGGCUAGAGUCCGGAAGAGGAAAGUGGAAUUCCUGGUGUAGCGGUGAAAUGCGCAGAUAUCCGGAAGAACACCCGUGGCGAAGGCGGCUUUCUGGGACGGUACUGACGCUGAGACGCGAAAGCGUGGGGAGCGAACAGG